AUAUUGUCACGGCCGGUAGUUAACUACCGGUCCUGUGGUCCAUGCAAGCAGCCUUUUCUAGUAUUGAAAACCAUACACCAGUAGGAUGCUUUACCUUUGAUGUCCCUAUUAUGUGGUAUCUCCUGCCUAGGGACCAUGGAAUUCGGCUUCAUCUGUGAUUAAUGGAACUUUGGAGGGAAGACGUACCUUCCCAAUAUAGACAAUGCGAUAAUAGCCAUCAAACUAGAAUAAGGUGGUGAGAGAUGAGACGAUACUCAGUGAUGAUGAUAGCAAAUGAUAGUUUUAGGAAGGUAUUUAUGGUACUCUCACCCUUUGGUGCACCUAAAGAUUAAAUCUCUCAUCAUCGGGUUUUGGAAGUAGACCGGCAUUGCCCCAGCUUGGUGAAGUCGAAAUGGCACAUUGCAUUUUGCAAUGGGAGAGAGUAUGGUGCCUGAUGUUGGCCAUCUAAAUGGUGCAUGGUUUGCAUUGCAGAUAUGCAAUGCUCGAUAGCUGCCAUCAAGAGAUAGACGGCUAUCAACAGUGUUGCACCAUAUAUCGCGUAUAAGCUGUCUUGUUUGAUAGCUAUUUGUCUUCUAACGAGGAUCAUUGAGCACUGUACAGUGCUCUGCAAUGCAACCCGAGGAUUUAUGCUCAUCUCGGUUAUAUUAUAAGAUAUACAACAAUGUCAGGAUAGGGCACAAUGGAUUGAAUGAAGGCGGAUAUCGACAUUCUUUUGAAUUGGUAAUAGGAGAUCUACAUGUUUUUCUUCAUUGUUUGCUUUGUUGAACCAUGGUUUCCUUGGUUGCAAGUAAUAAUAGAGGCUUGAACUAUGCAGGUGAGUGAUGGGGGAUUCAUAAAUAAGCUUCUCUCUAUUUCUUUGCAAACUCAUUUCUUCUGUUCUACUGCCUUCAGAGAAUUUAGAGAGAUAGAGAAGGGCGCAUGUGCAUGAAAUCCUUGUUAUGUAACUAGAGGGAGUAUCAAACAAAGAUGGGCUUGUCAAGGUAGGUGCACUGUCAUUAAUAGUGGCCGGUGGAUUUCGUUUGGGAGAUGGACAUGGAAAAAGAAGACAAAUAGAAAGGUAUGAUGAGAAUAGAUGUUGUAAAGAGACGUGUGUUUAAGAAACUAGGUAAUUUUGGUAGAAGCUAUGAUCACCAUCCAAAUCAAAGAUCGCUGC
rnacentral:lncRNA from 1 species